rnacentral:rRNA from 1 species
AACGCGAAGAACCUUACCUGGGCUCGAAGCGCAGUGGACCGGGGUAGAAAUAUCCCUUCCCCUUAAAAGGCUGCUGCGGAGGUGCUGCAUGGCUGUCGUCAGCUCGUGUCGUGAGAUGUUGGGUUAAGUCCCGCAACGAGCGCAACCCUUAUCCCUAGUUGCCAUCGGGUCAAGCCGGGCACUCUAGUGAAACUGCCUCGGAUAACGAGGAGGAAGGUGGGGAUGACGUCAAGUCCUCAUGGCCUUUAUGUCCAGGGCUACACACGUGUUACAAUGCAUGGUACAAACCGUCGCGAACCUGCGAAGGGGGAGCUAAUCGGAAAAAACCAUGCUCAGUUCGGAUUGCAGUCUGCAACUCGACUGCAUGAAGCCGGAAUCGCUAGUAAUGGCGUAUCAGAACGACGCCGUGAAUACGUUCCCGGGCCUUGUACACACCGGAGUGC